UGACCCGUCUUGAAACACGGACCAAGGAGUCUAAUUAGGCAUCAAGUCGAUCGGUCUUGACUAGGCCAGACAGUGAAGCUCGCAAGAGCUCUCACGAACGAAGGCGUAGAGAAAUCAAAUCGUGUGAUCGUGUCGGCAACAACAGCCGGCUCGCGCAACAUGUGCCUGUUCGAUAUAGUUGUGUUGUUAACUUGUUAGCAACCAACUGAGCGGAGCAAAGAGAUGCCUGAUUGGGACCCGAAAGAUGGUGAACUAUGCUUGGGCAAAUUGAAGCCAGAGGAAACUCUGGUGGAGGAUUGUAGCGAUUCUGACGUGCAAAUCGAUCGUCAGACCUGAGUAUAGGGGCGAAAGACUAAUCGAACCAUCUAGUAGCU
rnacentral:rRNA from 1 species